rnacentral:rRNA from 1 species
AGAGUUUGAUCAUGGCUCAGGAUGAACGCUGGCGGCGUGCCUAAUACAUGCAAGUCGAACGAGGUGCUUUUGUAGCAAUACGAGAGUAUCCUAGUGGCGAACGGGUGAGUAACGCGUUGGUGRMCYKSCCCMAARKKKKGGRAWAMCAGUCCGAAAGGAUUGCUAAUACCGCAUGUGGUCAUCGGAUUUAGAAACCGAUGUCUAAAGCAGUAAUGCGCUUUGGGAGGGACCUGCGUCCCAUCAGCUAGUUGGUGAGGUAACGGCUCACCAAGGCGACGACGGGUAGGGGACCUGAGAGGGUGGCCCCCCMCAAUGGAACUGAAACACGGUCCAUACACCUACGGGUGGCAGCAKUAGGGAAUAUUGCACAAUGGGCGAAAGCCUGACGCASCAACGCCGCGUGUGCGAUGAAGGCCUUCGGGUCGUAAAGCACUUUUCUGAGAGAUGAGAAAGGACAGUAUCUCAGGAAUAAGUCUCGGCUAACUACGUGSCAGCAGYCGCGGUAAUACA